CAGUCGCCACGGGAAUACGUAGGUGGCAAGCGUUGUCCGGAAUUAUUGGGCGUAAAGGGCUCGCAGGCGGUUUCUUAAGUCUGAUGUGAAAGCCCCCGGCUCAACCGGGGAGGGUCAUUGGAAACUGGGAAACUUGAGUGCAGAAGAGGAGAGUGGAAUUCCACGUGUAGCGGUGAAAUGCGUAGAGAUGUGGAGGGACACCAGUGGCGAAGGCGACUCUCUGGUCUGUAACUGACGCUGAGGAGCGAAAGCGUGGGGAGCGAACAGGAUUAGAUACCCCUGUAGUCCCUGUCUCUUAUAC
rnacentral:rRNA from 1 species